UGAAAAGUCGGUUCUCGUGCGAUCACCGAAGUUAAGCAACGUCGAGCCUGGUCAGUAUCUAGAUGGUUGACCGCAUGAGAAUACCAGAUGGUGUAAG